GUGGAUCUUUACUGACUUGGCUCGGGACCAGCACUCCUGUUGUUGGACAGAAAGACAUCAACUCAGUGACUUGAGAUAUGACUGCACUGUGCUGUUGCUGUGACUCCAGUUAAUUCUGCAAGACAUGCUGUGACACCAGGAGAGAUGAGUCCCCCGUCACAGAUGGUGUGGUCAGUGAAGAUGGUCGCCUGCAGGUUCAAGCUCAUUGCAUCUCCAACCCACAUCCACUGCCACUGUACUUAAGGGAAGUUAAAGACUUUCUUCUGCACUUACAUUUGGAUCACCUCGAUCCAUGAUAGUCAUUCAGGCAGUAAUACCUGGACUGGAAACAAGCCAUCCUUAAAAUAUUACAACAUUCCAGCUCCUGUGUUGGAAUGAAAAACGAAUGUGUUGUUUAAAUUAGAGACUGCACUUGUGACAGAACAAUAAAUAUUUUAUGUUGAUUAUAUAAAUAGUGUAAGUACAAAACAAACUUGUG